CACGUAGGCGGCUUGCCAAGCGUCCUGUGAAAUCCCUCGGCUCAACCGAGGAACUGCAGGGCGAACUGGCAGGCUUGAGGCAGGUAGGGGCGCAUGGAACUCUUGGUGGAGCGGUGGAAUGCGUAGAUAUCAAGAGGAACGCCGGUGGCGAAGGCGGUGCGCUGGGCCUGUCCUGACGCUGAGGUGCGAAAGCCAGGGGAGCGAACAGGAUUAGAUACCCUGGUAGUCC
rnacentral:rRNA from 1 species